CCAUCGUGCUGACACGGAGGCAGUGGGCCAGCGUCGUUCCUUGCUUCCACAUUUUUGCUCUCUUGGGAUUUUUGGGGUUUCCAGAGGCACAAAUUGUUUUCAUUCCAGUGGGCCAACGAUCGGAGGCGCCACCAUCGCACAAUCCACCGUCGUUGCCUGCUCCUGGUAAUACUCUCACAAGAUCCGCUGCUACAUCCAUUUCUUCUUCUUCCACGUUGCUGGGAGGAGACGGGCGCAAAGGAUUUGUGCGAGGGAGAAAGAAAGGGAAGGAAAGGGGAUAGGACGGGAGGAGGAGCACGACUGCUUACCACGGGUCGCAGAGGUAGCAAGGAAGCUUGGAAUACUAGUCAUCGCUGAUGAAGUGUAUGGAAACCUGGUGUUUGGGGACACCCCUUACGUCCCAAUGGGUGUCUUUGGCCACAUUGCCCUGUCUUGAGCAUAGGAUCACUAUCGAAGAGAUGGAUAGUGCCUGGGUGGCGACUUGGUUGGGUAGUUGUAUGUGAUCCCAUCAGGAUUCUGCAAGAAACCAAGAUCAUUGCAUCAAUAACAAACUUCCUUAACGUUUCAACUGAUCCGGCAACUUUUGUUCAGGGAGCACUUCCCCAUAUUCUUGGGAACACAAAGGAAGAUUUUUUUCAGGAGGAUCAUUGGUCUGCUAGCAGAAACCUCAGAGAUAUGUUACAGAGAAAUAAAGGACAUCAAGUGCAUCACCUGCCCUCACAAGCCAAAAGGUUCCAUGUUUGUCAUGGUGAAAUUAAAUUUGUAUCUUUUGGAGGGGAUUCAUGACGAUAUUGAUUUUUGCUGCAAGCUGGCAAAAGAAGAGUCUGUGAUUUUGUGUCCAGGGUGUUCUCGACAAAGAAAGCUUGUACCUUAAAACAGGAGGAUACAAGAAGCUGGAGUGGUUGUCUGAAGGCUUUUGAACUGCUUGAAGCAUUAGUGUAGCUUUGGUGCUUUUGUGACUGAUCAACUCUGGAGCAACUAGAGUGUAGUUGUGGGCUUUUGAACAAUAGUUGGAGUGAUAUGAAACAUUGUGAUGCUUUUGUGAAUAUAUAAUUGUGGUGCUUUUGUGUUUAUGUGAUGGAUUUAUAACUGUGGUAUACUGAUUAAUUAUGUAUAUCUUUAUGAUUUGUGUAUAAAAAUCUGUGAUUUGUGGUGCUUAAUUAAAU